GUGGCAGGGCUGAAAUGCAGUGGAAAUGUGUUUUUGGUGAAAAAGUUCAUUUUCAAGAUGAGACUUGCCGAAAGAGAACCUGCCACUGUUUGUUGACGUUUCCGCGAUCGAUGGGCAUUCACUUCCUGGUUGUGACGUAGAAGAACUCUUCUUCCAAUGGCGUUCCGUGCUGCUCCUCAAGCACCCGAGCCCGGAACUGGGUCCAGUCUUCAUCAUGGAACUGCUGUACGCCCAAGGCCAGGUGAAGCUCUGCAGAGUGGCUGCGCAGAAAAGGAUUGUACUGCUUCUCUUCUCCGAUAGUGGAGGGACACUGAAAAUGAAGAGCAUGUCAAAAAAGCAGGCAUCCCAGAAAUGUUUGUCAAUCUGGCUGCCUCAAGUUAUCUACUUCCCUUUCUCUCAUUGUAAUGUAGAAGUUUCCAAAGCGAUAAAACAACAGAUUCACUCAAUCCCUUACAGACCAAUGGAUAAGUGGAAAACACAAAGGACAUGCAAAAGACACUGCUACAAAUGUUCAAUAAAAAUGUGAUAUAUUUAAA